rnacentral:lncRNA from 1 species
UUUACAGGAUCAGACACUUUACACAUGCCACACACUUUAUCUAUGUGCAAUGUCUCACAUACCCUCAAGACUAACCUAACCAGACAAAACUCCAUUUUCCAGUAUCUAACUAUAGUUAACCCACCCUAACAACACGUGUCUCGAAUUAGAAUGUCAAAACAAAAAAAUCAAAACCACAAUCUCUCUCCCUACGAUUUUGAAAGUAGAUCUCCCAAAUCGCAAACCCUAGUUUCACUUCAUCCCCAUUUCACCUCCGUCUGAUUAAUCGAUCCUUGUUCUCCUCCGUCGGAUUCAUCGAUCCUGUUUCACCAUCGAGCCGGAAUCAUGAGGAAACCACGUAACAAGAAGAAAUCGAAGGAAACCAAGUGGAUGGAUGAUAGUUACCUUAAUUGUUUAUUUUCUUUCGUUGGAGAAGUAAGUAUGUGCUUUACUCUUAUUUUUCCUCUUUUCAAAAAAAAAAUUGUGUGUUUCUUUGUUUAUGUACAAAGUCUUCUUAUUUUGUGGAUUAGAUUUAUUUUGUUCAUUGAUGGUUUUGUUCAUUGUUU